AACAAUAUCCUGAUGCCGUCUGAGU
rnacentral:ncRNA from 2 species